UACGUAGGGGGCAAGCGUUGUCCGGAUUUAUUGGGCGUAAAGAGCGUGUAGGCGGCCAGAUAGGUCCGUUGUGAAAACUCGAGGCUCAACCUCGAGACGCCGAUGGAAACCAUUUGGCUAGAGUCCGGAAGAGGAGAGUGGAAUUCCUGGUGUAGCGGUGAAAUGCGUAGAUAUCUGGAGGAACACCGGUGGCGAAGGCGGCAUCCUGGACCGAUACUGACGCUGAGGAGCGAAAGCCAGGGGAGCAAACGGG
rnacentral:rRNA from 1 species